UACGGAGGGUGCGAGCGUUAAUCGGAAUCACUGGGCGUAAAGGGCGCGUAGGCGGUUUGGUAAGUCGGGUGUGAAAGCCCUGGGCUCAACCUAGGAAUGGCAUUCGAGACUGCCGGACUAGAGUAGGGUAGAGGGAGGCGGAAUUUCCGGUGUAGCGGUGAAAUGCGUAGAGAUCGGAAGGAACACCAGUGGCGAAGGCGGCCUCCUGGACCCUAACUGACGCUGAGGUGCGAAAGCGUGGGGAGCGAACAGG
rnacentral:misc_RNA from 1 species